ACUUGGUAUCGUCAAAUGUACAUCCUUGAGAAAAGAAGAACCUGAUAAGGCUUUCUGGACUAAGCUGCUACUAUGUUUCUUUCCUACUACAUCAAUGGCAUUUGAAAUUCUUAGAAGAGGGCGAUCAAAAGGUAAACCAAGUCUCAAAUGAAGGGAUCUUCUUGUUUCAACUUGCUUCAGUUCUGUUUCACCAUAACUAAGUUCAUAUAAGACUGUAAUCGGAUGUAAAAUUCCUGGAGGAAGGAAGUGAUAUGGAUGCAACUCUGGAUGCCCUUUUAAAAGGUCGGGAAUAUUAACUUUCCUCAUGGAGUGUAACUGGUCAACUAGUGCAGGGAUGACCAACUUUGAAAUGCCAUAAGACAGUGACAGAUCUUUCGACGCAUAACAAAGCACUUCUAGUUUAUGACCUAUGACCAGAAGUUGAGUUUCUUGGGUGGCUGGAUAAUAUUCAGCAAUAG
rnacentral:misc_RNA from 1 species